AUUGAACGCUGGCAGCAGGCUUAACACAUGCAAGUCGAGCGGGGUGAUGGUGCUUGCAUUAUCACUUAGCGGCGGACGGGUGAGUAAUGCUUAGGAAUCUGCCUAUUAGUGGGGGACAUCAUCUCGACAGGGAUGCUAAUACCGCAUACGUCCUACGGGAGAAAGCAGGGGAUCACUUGUGACCUUGCGCUAAUAGAUGACACUAAGUCGGAUUAGCUAGUUGGUAGGGUAAAGGCAUACCAAGGCGACGAUCUGUAGCGGGUCUGAGAGGAUGAUCCGCCGCACUGGGGCUGAAAAACGGCGCAGACUCCUACGGGAGGCAGACGUGGGGAAUAUUUGAAAAUUGGGUGAACCCUGAGCCAGCCAUGCCGCGUGUGUGAAGAAGGCCUUAUGGUUGGAAAGCACUUUAAGCGAGGAGGAGGCACUUUUGGUUAAUACCCAAGAUGAGUGGACGUUACUCGCAGAAUAAGCACCGGCUAACUCUGUGCCAGCCGCCGCAGUAAAAC
rnacentral:rRNA from 1 species